GACGAAGGGGGCUAGCGUUGUUCGGAAUUACUGGGCGUAAAGCGCGUGUAGGCGGUUAUUCAAGUCGGGUGUGAAAGCCUUGAGCUCAACUCAAGAAAUGCAUUCGGUACUGGGUGACUAGAGGACCGGAGAGGAUAGUGGAAUUCCCAGUGUAGUGGUGAAAUACGUAGAGAUUGGGAAGAACACCAGUGGCGAAGGCGGCUAUCUGGACGGUUUCUGACGCUAAGACGCGAAAGCUAGGGUAGCAAACGGG
rnacentral:rRNA from 1 species